rnacentral:rRNA from 1 species
UACGGGGGGGGUAAGCGUUGUUCGGAAUUACUGGGCGUAAAGGGCUCGUAGGCGGCCAACUAAGUCAGACGUGAAAUCCCCAGGCUUAACCUGGGAACUGCGUCUGAUACUGGAUGGCUUGAAUUCGGGAGAGGGAUGCAGAAUUCCAGGUGUAGCGGUGAAAUGCGUAGAUAUCUGGAGGAAUACCGGUGGCGAAGGCGGCAUCCUGGACCGACAUUGACGCUGAGGCGCGAAAGCCAGGGGAGCAAACGGG